UACGUAGGGGGCAAGCGUUGUCCGGAAUCAUUGGGCGUAAAGAGCGUGUAGGCGGCUCGGUAAGUCCGCUGUGAAAGUCCAGGGCUCAACCCUGGAAUGCCGGUGGAAACUGUCGAGCUAGAGUCCGGAAGAGGCGAGUGGAAUUCCUGGUGUAGCGGUGAAAUGCGCAGAUAUCAGGAGGAACACCGGUGGCGAAGGCGGUGGUCUGGGCCGGCACUGACGCUGAGGAGCGAAAGCGUGGGGAGCGAACAGG
rnacentral:rRNA from 1 species